rnacentral:rRNA from 1 species
ACGGAAGGCAGCAGUGGGGAAUAUUGGGCAAUGGAGGGAACUCUGACCCAGCAACGCCGCGUGAAGGAAGAAGGUUUUCGGAUUGUAAACUUCUGAUCUAAGGGAAGAAGAAAGUGACGGUACCUUAGGAGAAAGCCACGGCUAACUACGUGCCAGCAGCCGCGGUAAUACGUAGGUGGCGUGCGUUGUCCGGAAUGACUGGGCGUAAAGGGAGCGUAGGUGGUAUGGUAAGUUAGAUGUGAAAGCCCAAGGCUCAACUUUGGAAUAGCAUCUAAAACUAUCAAACUAGAGUGCAGGAGGGGUAAACGGAAUUUCUAGUGUAGCGGUGAAAUGCGUAGAUAUUAGGAAGAACACCAGAGGCGAAGGCGGUUUACUGGACUGCGACUGACACUGAGGCUCGAAAGCGUGGGGAGCAAACAGGAUUAGAUACCCUGGUA